GAAUUUCUAGUGUAGAGGUGAAAUUCGUAGAUAUUAGAAAGAAUACCAAUUGCGAAGGCAGCUUUCUGGAUCAUUACUGACACUGAGGAACGAAAGCAUGGGUAGCGAAGAGGAUUAGAUACCCUCGUAGUCCAUGCCGUAAACGAUGUGUGUUAGACGUUGGAAACUUGUUUUCAGUGUCGCAGCGAAAGCGAUAAACACACCGCCUGGGGAGUACGACCGCAAGGUUAAAACUCAAAUGAAUUGACGGGGACCCGCACAAGUAGUGGAGCAUGUGGUUUAAUUCGAAGAUACGCGCAGAACCUUACCAACACUUGACAUGUUCGUCGCGACUUUAAGAGAUUAAAGUUUUCGGUUCGGCCGGACGAAACACAGGUGCUGCAUGGCUGUCGUCAGCUCGUGUCGUGAGAUGUUGGGUUAAGUCCCGCAACGAGCGCAACCCUCACUUUUAGUUGCCAUCAUUAAGUUGGGUACUCUGAAAGAACUGCCAGUGAUAAGCUGGAGGAAGGUGGGGAUGACGUCAAGUCCUCAUGGCCCUUACGUGUUGGGCUACACACGUGCUACAAUGGUAUCUACAACAGGAAGCAAAACGGCGACGUUAAGCAAAUCCUUAAAAGAUACCUCAGUUCGGAUUGCACUCUGCAACUCGAGUGCAUGAAGCUGGAAUUACUAGUAAUCGUGGAUCAGCGUGCCACGGUGAAUGCGUUCCCGGGUCUUGUACACACCGCCCGUCACACCAUGGGAG
rnacentral:rRNA from 1 species